rnacentral:rRNA from 1 species
UACAGAGGGGGCAAGCGUUGUUCGGAAUUACUGGGCGUAAAGGGCGCGUAGGCGGCCCGCUAAGUCGAACGUGAAAUCCCCGAGCUCAACUCGGGAACUGCGUCCGAUACUGGCGGGCUUGAAUCCGGGAGAGGGAUGCGGAAUUCCAGGUGUAGCGGUGAAAUGCGUAGAUAUCUGGAGGAACACCGGUGGCGAAGGCGGCCAUCUGGACGGUAACUGACGCUGAGACGCGAAAGCGUGGGGAGCAAACAGG